rnacentral:rRNA from 1 species
UACGUAGGUGGCAAGCGUUACUCGGAAUCACUAGGCGUAAAGCGCGGGUAGGCGGUUAGAUAAGUCUGUUGUGAAAGCUCCUGGCUUAACUGGGAGAGGUCAACGGAAACUAUCUAGCUAGAGUGUGGUAGAGGAAACUGGAAUUCCUGGUGUAGCGGUGAAAUGCGUAGAUAUCAGGAGGAACACCUAUGGCGAAAGCAGGUUUCUGGACCAUCACUGACGCUGAGCUGCGAAAGCUAGGGGAGCAAACAGG